rnacentral:rRNA from 1 species
GGUACCGGCUAAUUACGUGCCAGCAGCCGCGGUAAUACGUAAGGACCGAGCGUUGUCCGGAAUUAUUGGGCGUAAAGGGUACGUAGGCGGCUUCUUAAGUUUGACGUGAAAUUCCGGGGCUUAACUCCGGCAAGCGUUGAAAACUGGGGAGCUUGAGUGAUGGAAGGGACAGUGGAAUUCCUGGUGUAGUGGUGAAAUGCGCAGAGAUCAGGAAGAAUACCGGUGGCGAAGGCGACUGUCUGGACAUUAACUGACGCUGAGGUACGAAAGCGUGGGGAGCAAACAGGAUCAGAUACCCUGGUAGUCCACGCUGUAAACGAUGAGUGCAAGGUGUUGGGUGUCAAAACUCAGUGCCGCCGUUAACACAGUAAGCACUCCGCCUGGGGAGUACGUACGCA